AGAGUUUGAUCCUGGCUCAGGAUGAACGCUAGCUACAGGCUUAACACAUGCAAGUCGAGGGGCAGCGGGGUUGAAGCUUGCUUCAACCGCCGGCGACCGGCGCACGGGUGAGUAACACGUAUCCAACCUGCCGAUAACUCUGGGAUAGCCUUUCGAAAGAAAGAUUAAUACCGGAUGGCAUAGUUUUCCCGCAUGGAAAAACUAUUAAAGAAUUUCGGUUAUCGAUGGGGAUGCGUUCCAUUAGGCAGUUGGCGGGGUAACGGCCCACCAAACCGACGAUGGAUAGGGGUUCUGAGAGGAAGGUCCCCCACAUUGGAACUGAGACACGGUCCAAACUCCUACGGGAGGCAGCAGUGAGGAAUAUUGGUCAAUGGACGAGAGUCUGAACCAGCCAAGUAGCGUGAAGGAUGACUGCCCUAUGGGUUGUAAACUUCUUUUAUAUGGGAAUAAAGUUAGCCACGUGUGGUUUUUUGCAUGUACCGUAUGAAUAAGGAUCGGCUAACUCCGUGCCAGCAGCCGCGGUAAUACGGAGGAUCCGAGCGUUAUCCGGAUUUAUUGGGUUUAAAGGGAGCGUAGGCGGACGCUUAAGUCAGUUGUGAAAGUUUGCGGCUCAACCGUAAAAUUGCAGUUGAUACUGGGUGUCUUGAGUACAGUAGAGGCAGGCGGAAUUCGUGGUGUAGCGGUGAAAUGCUUAGAUAUCACGAAGAACUCCGAUUGCGAAGGCAGCUCACUGGAGUGUAACUGACGCUGAUGCUCGAAAGUGUGGGUAUCAAACAGGAUUAGAUACCCUGGUAGUCCACACAGUAAACGAUGAAUACUCGCUGUUUGCGAUAUACAGUAAGCGGCCAAGCGAAAGCGUUAAGUAUUCCACCUGGGGAGUACGCCGGCAACGGUGAAACU
rnacentral:rRNA from 1 species